CCUACGGGGUGCAGCAGUGAGGAAUAUUGGUCAAUGGACGAGAGUCUGAACCAGCCAAGUAGCGUGAAGGAUGACUGCCCUAUGGGUUGUAAACUUCUUUUAUAUGGGAAUAAAAUGUUCCACGUGUGGGAUUUUGUAUGUACCAUAUGAAUAAGGAUCGGCUAACUCCGUGCCAGCAGCCGCGGUAAUACGGAGGAUCCGAGCGUUAUCCGGAUUUAUUGGGUUUAAAGGGAGCGUAGGUGGAUUGUUAAGUCAGUUGUGAAAGUUUGCGGCUCAACCGUAAAAUUGCAGUUGAAACUGGCAGUCUUGAGUACAGUAGAGGUGGGCGGAAUUCGUGGUGUAGCGGUGAAAUUCUUAGAUAUCACGAAGAACUCCGAUUGCGAAGGCAGUUCACUGGACUGCAACUGACACUGAGGCUCGAAAGUGUGGGUAUCAAACAGGAUUAGAUACCCGGGUAGUC
rnacentral:rRNA from 1 species